rnacentral:rRNA from 1 species
GAUGAACGCUGGCGGCGUGCCUAAUACAUGCAAGUCGAACGCACUAGCGAAAGGUGCUUGCACCUUUCAAGUGAGUGGCGAACGGGUGAGUAACACGUGGACAACCUGCCUCAAGGCUGGGGAUAACAUUUGGAAACGAGAUGCUAAUACCGAAUAAAACUCAGUGUCGCAUGACACAAAGUUAAAAGGCGCUUUUGGCGUUCACCUAGAGAUUGGAUCCGCGG